AGGGUUUGAUCAUGGCUCAGAACGUACGCUGGCGGCACGCCUAACACAUGCAAGUCGAACGAAGUAGCAAUACUUAGUGGCAAACGGGUGAGUAAUAUGUGGGAAUCUACCUAUCGGUCUGGAAUAACAUGAGGAAACUUGUGCUAAUACCGGAUAAGCCUUUACAGGGAAAGCUUUAUGCUCCGAUUGAUGAGUCCACACUUGAUUAGUUAGUUGGUGAGGUAAAAGCUCACCAAGACAAUGAUCAAUAGCUGAUUUGAGAGGAUGAUCAGCCACAUUGGGACUGAGACACGGCCCAAACUCCUACGGGAGGCAGCAGUGGGGAAUCUUGCACAAUGGGGGAAACCCUGAUGCAGCGAUGCCGCGUGAGUGAAGAAGGCCUUUGGGUUGUAAAGCUCUUUCGUCGGGGAAGAAAAUGACUGUACCCGAAUAAGAAGGUCCGGCUAACUUCGUGCCAGCAGCCGCGGUAAUACGAAGGGACCUAGCGUAGUUCGGAAUUACUGGGCUUAAAGAGUUCGUAGGUGGUUAAGAAAGUUGAUGGUGAAAUCCCAGAGCUUAACCCUGGAACUGCCAUCAAAACUUUUUAGCUAGAGUAUGAUAGAGGAAAGUAGAAUUUCUAGUGUAGAGG
rnacentral:rRNA from 1 species